rnacentral:rRNA from 1 species
UACAGAGGGUGCGAGCGUUAUUCGGAAUUACUGGGCGUAAAGCGCGUGUAGACGGUUUUUUAAGUCGGAUGUGAAAGCCCCGGGCUCAACCUGGGAAUUGCAUUCGAGACUGAAUAGCUAGGGUGCGGUAGAGGGAAGCGGAAUUUCCGGUGUAGCGGUGAAAUGCGUAGAUAUCGGAAGGAACAUCAGUGGCGAAAGCGACUUCCUGGACCAAUACUGACGCUCAUGUGCGAAAGCGUGGGGAGCAAACAGG